rnacentral:rRNA from 1 species
UUUUGUCCUUCGGGUACAAUGAGACAGGUGGUGCAUGGUUGUCGUCAGCUCGUGUCGUGAGAUGUUGGGUUAAGUCCCGCAACGAGCGCAACCCUUGUGUUUAGUUGCAAACAGGUCAAGCUGUGCACUCUAGACAGACUGCCGUGGACAACACGGAGGAAGGUGGGGGACGACGUCAAGUCAUCAUGGCCCUCAUGUCCAGGGCGACACACGUGCUACAAUGGCCGGCACAACGGGAAGCGACGGCGCGAGUCGUAGCGGAUCCCUCAAAGCCGGUCCCAGUUCGGAUUGCAGUCUGCAACUCGACUGCAUGAAGCCGGAAUCGCUAGUAAUCGUGGAUCAGCCAAGCCGCGGUGAAUACGUUCCCGGGCCUU